rnacentral:lncRNA from 1 species
AUAUUCCGAAACACGUAACGAACUCCCAUACAUUUUGUGGUACGCUCGAGGAAGCUUAAAUAGAGAUAAGCUUCCCCCCGACAAUUCUAGCAACCUUACAAUUUGUCCUUUCAAAUCACUUACACCUCUCAGGGGCUGUACAUGGGAGGUCAACUCCUUAUGUUCACUGGAAGCACCUGGCAUACACAUCGCUUUUCCUUUUUCACUCGAAUGAGGUAUCACUCUCUUAUCCCCAUGUUCAAACCCUUCCCCAUGGGCCAUGCUACGCCAAUCCCAUACAUACUUACCAGCAUUCUUAAGAGAGGAUGAAACAUUUAUCCUAGAUGGAAUC